GUCUACCACCAUGCCACCUGAACACGCCCGAUCCCGUGUGAUCUCGGAAGCUAAGCAGGGUCGGGCCUGGUUAGUACUUGGAUGGGAGACCACCUAGGAAGACUGGGUGCUGUGGGUG
rnacentral:rRNA from 1 species